UACAGAGGGUGCGAGCGUUGUCCGGAAUCACUGGGCGUAAAGGGCGCGUAGGCGGGCGAUCAAGCGUGCGGUGAAAGCUCGGGGCUCAACUCCGAGUCGGCCGUGCGAACUGGUUGUCUGGAGUCUGGUAGAGGUCGAUGGAAUUCCGGGUGUAGCGGUGGAAUGCGUAGAGAUCCGGAAGAACACCGGUGGCGAAGGCGGUCGACUGGGCCAGUACUGACGCUGAUGCGCGACAGCGUGGGGAGCAAACAGG
rnacentral:rRNA from 1 species